GAUGAACGCUAGCUACAGGCUUAACACAUGCAAGUCGAGGGGCAGCAGGAUCUAGCAAUAGAUUGCUGGCGACCGGCGCACGGGUGAGUAACACGUAUCCAACCUGCCGAUAACUCGGGGAUAGCCUUUCGAAAGAAAGAUUAAUACCCGAUGGUAUAAUCAGACCGCAUGGUUUGAUUAUUAAAGAAUUUCGGUUAUCGAUGGGGAUGCGUUCCAUUAGGCAGUUGGUGAGGUAACGGCUCACCAAACCUUCGAUGGAUAGGGGUUCUGAGAGGAAGGUCCCCCACAUUGGAACUGAGACACGGUCCAAACUCCUACGGGAGGCAGCAGUGAGGAAUAUUGGUCAAUGGACGCGAGUUUGAACCAGCCAAGUAGCGUGAAGGAUGACUGCCCUAUGGGUUGUAAACUUCUUUUAUAUGGGAAUAAAGUUUUCCACGUGUGGAAUUUUGUAUGUACCAUAUGAAUAAGGAUCGGCUAACUCCGUG
rnacentral:rRNA from 1 species